AACGAACGCUGGCGGCGCGCCUAAUACAUGCAAGUCGAGCGAGAAGACGUAGCAAUACGUUUGUAAAGCGGCGAACGGGUGAGGAAUACAUGGGUAACCUACCCUCGAGUGGGGAAUAACUAGCCGAAAGGUUAGCUAAUACCGCGUACGCUCCUUGGACUUCGGUUCAGGGAGGAAAGCGAUACCGUGGGUAUCGCGCUCUUGGAUGGGCUCAUGUCCUAUCAGCUUGUUGGUGAGGUAACGGCUCACCAAGGCUUCGACGGGUAGCUGGUCUGAGAGGACGAUCAGCCACACUGGCACUGCGACACGGGCCAGACUCCUACGGGAGGCAGCAGUAAGGAAUAUUGCGCAAUGGGCGAAAGCCUGACGCAGCGACGCCGCGGUGGGGGA
rnacentral:rRNA from 1 species